UACAGAGGGUGCAAGCGUUAAUCGGAAUUAUUGGGCGUAAAGGGCGUGUAGGUGGAUAAUUAAGUUGGAUGUGAAAUAAGUGAGCUUAACUUGCAUAUGUCAUUCAAUACUGAUUGUCUAGAGUACAGUAGAGGGUAGUGGAAUUUCCGGUGUAGCGGUGAAAUGCGUAGAGAUCGGAAAGAACACCGGUGGCGAAGGCGGCUACCUGGACUGAUACUGACACUGAGGCGCGAAAGCGUGGGUAGCGAACAGG
rnacentral:rRNA from 1 species